rnacentral:snoRNA from 1 species
GUCAAACUAGGGGUGAGCAGUUUUAUAUACCCCUCUUCUUUAACCCCCCAAUGCCCCUGCGCGAGGACCCCGGGGAGAAUGAACCGGGGGGCGAUGCGGGGGCAACAGCCCGGCCUUACAGCGAGGUCCCCGCGGGAGGGCCUUCCGCGUUACGGAGCGCGAUGACCGCGGGAAACCCAGGCCGGGCACAGACGGCCCGCUCGGGUUAACCCGCUCGAGUUCUGCCGUCAGGCUCCUAUGAGAGCGGGGGUUACGGGCGGGCCAUAUCCUA